GUCUACAGCCAUGCCAAACUUAUCAGAUCUCAGAAGCUAAGCAGGGUGGGGGCCUGGUUAGUACUCGGAUGGGAGACCACCUAGGAAUACCAGGAGCUAUAGGCG
rnacentral:rRNA from 1 species